AUACAGAGGGUGCGAGCGUUAAUCGGAAUUACUGGGCGUAAAGCGCGCGUAGGCGGCUACUUAAGUCAGAUGUGAAAUCCCCGGGCUCAACCUGGGAACUGCAUCUGAUACUGGGUAGCUAGAGUUUUGGAGAGGGAAGUAGAAUUUCAGGGGUAGCGGUGAAAUGCAUAGAGAUCUGAAGGAAUACCAGUGGCGAAGGCGACUUCCUGGCCAAAAACUGACGCUGAGGUGCGAAAGCGUGGGUAGCAAACGGGAUUAGAUACCCGAGUAGUCC
rnacentral:rRNA from 1 species